AUGAAACCAAAGUCCUUUUUAGGCCUAUAAAGAAGUAUCUCUGAUGAAACACCAGCAAUCAUGAAGCGGAGUUAUCCCUCAGGAAGCCAGAAAAGAAAGAAGUGAAAGGAAGAAGAAGAUAAGAAAAACAGAUAGCGGUACUUGGCUUACAUUUCUAAGCCCUCUACCUACGGAUGCCUCCAUUGAUGAAGCUCCACAAUCAUCUCCACCUCUCAUUUGUGAGGAAGAAGAGGACAUGGGAGACUGUAUGCAGUGGUGCCAUGGCCUCAAUGUCAAUUGAGUCUGCACAAGUUCUCAGCUCUGAUGUUCCCUCUG